rnacentral:rRNA from 1 species
AUUGAACGCUGGCGGCAGGCCUAACACAUGCAAGUCGAACGAGUGGCGGACGGGUGAGUAAUGUCUGGGCAACUGCCUGAUGGAGGGGUAUAACUACUGGAAACCGUAGCUAAUACUGCAUACCAUCAGAUGUGCCCAGAUGGGAUUAGCUAGGUGGUGGGGUAACGGCUCACAAAGGCGACGAUCCCUAGCUGGUCUGAGAGGAUGACCAGCCACACUGGGACUGAGACACGGUCCAGACUCCUACGGGAGGCAGCAGUGGGGAAUAUUGCACAAUGGGCGAAAGCCUGAUGGAGCAAUGCCGCGUGUAUGAAGAAGGCCUUCGGGUUGUAAAGUACUUUCAGCGGGGAGGCGUUACCCACAGAAGAAGCACCGGCUAACUCCGUGCCAGCAGCCGCGGUAAUAC